UGGGGAAUAUUGCACAAUGGGCGCAAGCCUGAUGCAGCCAUGCCGCGUGUAUGAAGAAGGCCUUCGGGUUGUAAAGUACUUUCAGUCGGGAGGAAGGUGGUAAGGUUAAUAACCUUGGCAAUUGACGUUACCGACAGAAGAAGCACCGGCUAACUCCGUGCCAGCAGCCGCGGUAAUACGGAGGGUGCAAGCGUUAAUCGGAAUUACUGGGCGUAAAGCGCACGCAGGCGGUUGAUUGAGUCAGAUGUGAAAUCCCCGGGCUUAACCCGGGAAUUGCAUCUGAUACUGGUCAGCUAGAGUCUUGUAGAGGGGGGUAGAAUUCCAGGUGUAGCGGUGAAAUGCGUAGAGAUGUGGAGGAAUACCGGUGGCGAAGGCGGCCCCCUGGACAAAGACUGACGCUCAGGUGCGAAAGCGUGGGGAGCAAACAGG
rnacentral:rRNA from 1 species